AAGAAAGAGAAGGAAGGAUAACCGGAGGGGACAACAACACUGUAGAAAAGCACUUUUUAAAACUUGGAAUGAAUAUAUUCCAAGUUGGGAAAUGAGCCACUAAAAGGGUGAUGGGGCCUUGGCAUGCAGAGAUGAGACGGUGGAAGGAACAGUCCCAGCACUGAGACUUGGGUGCCAAGCCCGCACAGCUUAAGAGCAGAGGAGGAGCGUGCUUUUGUCAAAAGCGAUUGGACAUCUGAGGACAAGAACAUGACUGAAACAACCCAUCUCUCUAAUUCACUGUGUUCUACUUCAUCAGCAUCACUCCGAUAUUAUCAUCAUCUUCAUCAUAACCUCCAUCUAAAAAAGAUUUAUUACACAGUGUUUGCGUCUGUGGUCAAUAUAUAAUACAGACAAGACAAGUGCUCCCUUCCUGCUAUAGAUGAGUUUGCAAUUUAUAAAGGAGUGUGGUGCAGAGGAAACACCUUAUGCUUUGAAAUAAAACCAAACUGGG
rnacentral:lncRNA from 1 species